CCAAGCGUACACGGUGGAUGCCCUGGCAGUCAGAGGCGAUGAAGGACGUGCUAAUCUGCGAAAAGCGCCGGUAAGGUGAUAUGAACCGUUAUAACCGGCGAUGUCCGAAUGGGGAAACCCAGUGUGACUCGUCACACUAUCAUUAACUGAAUCCAUAGGUUAAUGAGGCGAACCGGGGGAACUGAAACAUCUAAGUACCCCGAGGAAAAGAAAUCAACCGAGAUUCCCCCAGUAGCGGCGAGCGAACGGGGAGGAGCCCAGAGCCUGAAUCAGCAUAUGUGUUAGUGGAAGCGUCUGGAAAGGCGCGCGAUACAGGGUGACAGCCCCGUACACAAAAGCGCAUGUGCUGUGAGCUCGAUGAGUAGGGCGGGACACGUGGUAUCCUGUCUGAAUAUGGGGGGACCAUCCUCCAAGGCUAAAUACUCCUGACUGACCGAUAGUGAACCAGUACCGUGAGGGAAAGGCGAAAAGAACCCCGGCGAGGGGAGUGAAACAGAACCUGAAACCGUGUACGUACAAGCAGUGGGAGCACAGGUUUACCUGUGUGACUGCGUACCUUUUGUAUAAUGGGUCAGCGACUUAUAUUCUGUAGCAAGGUUAACCGAAUAGGGGAGCCGGAGGGAAACCGAGUCUUAAUUGGGCGUUAAGUUGCAGGGUAUAGACCCGAAACCCGGUGAUCUAGCCAUGGGCAGGUUGAAGGUUGGGUAACACUAACUGGAGGACCGAACCGACUAAUGUUGAAAAAUUAGCGGAUGACCUGUGGCUGGGGGUGAAAGGCCAAUCAAACCGGGAGAUAGCUGGUUCUCCCCGAAAGCUAUUUAGGUAGCGCCUCGUGAAUUCAUCUCCGGGGGUAGAGCACUGUUUCGGCCAGGGGGCCAUCCCGGCUUACCAACCCGAUGCAAACUGCGAAUACCGGAGAAUGUUAUCACGGGAGACACACGGCGGGUGCUAACGUCCGUCGUGAAGAGGGAAACAACCCAGACCGCCAGCUAAGGUCCCAAAGUCAUGGUUAAGUGGGAAACGAUGUGGGAAGGCCCAGACAGCCAGGAUGUUGGCUUAGAAGCAGCCAUCAUUUAAAGAAAGCGUAAUAGCUCACUGGUCGAGUCGGCCUGCGCGGAAGAUGUAACGGGGCUAAACCAUGCACCGAAGCUGCGGCAGCGAACGUAUCACUUAAAGCGAUUCAGCGGAUGACGAUUGACGGAGCGAAGCGACGUCAAAGCGUUUUACAACGUCGAGUCGGUUUAAGGAUACGUUCGUUGGGUAGGGGAGCGUUCUGUAAGCCUGCGAAGGUGUGUCGUGAGGCAUGCUGGAGGUAUCAGAAGUGCGAAUGCUGACAUAAGUAACGAUAAUGCGGGUGAAAAACCCGCACGCCGGAAGACCAAGGGUUCCUGUCCAACGUUAAUCGGGGCAGGGUGAGUCGACCCCUAAGGCGAGGCCGAAAGGCGUAGUCGAUGGGAAACGGGUUAAUAUUCCCGUACCUGGUGUUACUGCGAAGGGGGGACGGAGAAGGCUAUGUUGGCCGGGCGACGGUUGUCCCGGUUUAAGCGUGCAGGCUGGUUUUCCAGGCAAAUCCGGAAAAUCAAGGCUGAGGCGUGACGACGAGGCACUACGGUGCUGAAGCAACAAAUGCCCUGCUUCCAGGAAAAGCCUCUAAGCCUCAGGUAACAUCAGAUCGUACCCGAAACCGACACAGGUGGUCAGGUAGAGAAUACCAAGGCGCUUGAGAGAACCCGGGUGAAGGAACUAGGCAAAAUGGUGCCGUAACUUCGGGAGAAGGCACGCUGACACGUAGGUGAAGCGGUUUACCCGUGGAGCUGAAGUCAGUCGAAGAUACCAGCUGGCUGCAACUGUUUAUUAAAAACACAGCACUGUGCAAACACGAAAGUGGACGUAUACGGUGUGACGCCUGCCCGGUGCCGGAAGGUUAAUUGAUGGGGUCAGCGCAAGCGAAGCUCCUGAUCGAAGCCCCGGUAAACGGCGGCCGUAACUAUAACGGUCCUAAGGUAGCGAAAUUCCUUGUCGGGUAAGUUCCGACCUGCACGAAUGGCGUAAUGAUGGCCAGGCUGUCUCCACCCGGGACUCAGUGAAAUUGAACUCGCUGUGAAGAUGCAGUGUACCCGCGGCAAGACGGAAAGACCCCGUGAACCUUUACUAUAGCUUGACACUGAACACUGGUCCUUGAUGUGCAGGAUAGGUGGGAGGCUUUGAAGUGUGGACGCCAGUCUGCAUGGAGCCGUCCUUGAAAUACCACCCUUUAAUGGCUGGUGUUCUAACGUAGACCCGUGAACCGGGUUGCGGACAGUGUCUGGUGGGUAGUUUGACUGGGGCGGUCUCCUCCUAAAGCGUAACGGAGGAGCACGAAGGUUGGCUAAUCCUGGUCGGACAUCAGGAGGUUAGUGCAAUGGCAUAAGCCAGCUUGACUGCGAGCGUGACGGCGCGAGCAGGUGCGAAAGCAGGUCAUAGUGAUCCGGUGGUUCUGAAUGGAAGGGCCAUCGCUCAACGGAUAAAAGGUACUCCGGGGAUAACAGGCUGAUACCGCCCAAGAGUUCAUAUCGACGGCGGUGUUUGGCACCUCGAUGUCGGCUCAUCACAUCCUGGGGCUGAAGUAGGUCCCAAGGGUAUGGCUGUUCGCCAUUUAAAGUGGUACGCGAGCUGGGUUUAGAACGUCGUGAGACAGUUCGGUCCCUAUCUGCCGUGGGCGCUGGAGAACUGAGGGGGGCUGCUCCUAGUACGAGAGGACCGGAGUGGACGCAUCACUGGUGUUCGGGUUGUCAUGCCAAUGGCACUGCCCGGUAGCUAAAUGCGGAAGAGAUAAGUGCUGAAAGCAUCUAAGCACGAAACUUGCCCCGAGAUGAGUUCUCCCUGAGACUACGAGUCUCCUGAAGGAACGUUGAAGACGACGACGUUGAUAGGCCGGGUGUGUAAGCGCAGCAAUGCGUUGAGCUAACCGGUACUAAUGAACCGUGAGGCUUAACC
rnacentral:rRNA from 1 species